CUCAGUUCAGAUCGUAGGCUGCAACUCGCCUACGUGAAGUAGGAAUCGCUAGUAAUCGCAGGUCAGCAUACUGCGGUGAAUACGUUCCCGGGCCUUGUACACACCGCCCGUCACACCAUGGAAGUUGGCCACGCCCGAAGUCGUUACUUUAACCCUUGUGGAGAAGGACGCCGAAGGUGGGGCUGAUGUCUGGGGUGAAGUCGUAACAAGGUAGCCGUACCGGAAGGUGCGGCUGGAUCACCUCCUAA
rnacentral:rRNA from 1 species